GACGAACGCUGGCGGCGUGCCUAAUACAUGCAAGUCGAACGAAGCUGUUUUAACUGGUGCUUGCACCGACUUAAACAACUGAGUGGCGAACGGGUGAGUAACACGUGGGUAACCUGCCCCAAAGCGGGGGAUAACAUUUGGAAACAGAUGCUAAUACCGCAUAAUCACAGAAACCACAUGGUUUCUGUGUCAAAGAUGGUUUCGGCUAUCACUUUGGGAUGGACCCGCGGAGUAUUAGCUAGUUGGUAAGGUAAUGGCUUACCAAGGCAAUGAUACGUAGCCGAACUGAGAGGUUGAUCGGCCACAUUGGGACUGAGACACGGCCCAAACUCCUACGGGAGGCAGCAGUAGGGAAUCUUCCACAAUGGACGAAAGUCUGAUGGGGCAACGCCGCGUGAGUGAAGAAGGUUUUCGGAUCGUAAAACUCUGUUGUCAGAGAAGAACGUGUGCGAGAGUAACUGUUCGUGCAGUGACGGUAUCUGGCCAGAAAGCCACGGCUAACUACGUGCCAGCCGCCGCUGUAA
rnacentral:rRNA from 1 species